UCUCUUUCUCUCUCUCUAUUUACUCUUUUAUAUCUGUGCACUGUCAAUAUCUAUUUAAAGUCUGCUCAUCGCACAAAGUCACAUUCACACCUCGCAACACGCUAAUUCGAUGAACUUCAUUCAUGAGCUGUUGCGGCUUCUGUUUCAGCUUUUUCUCUUGUUUCUUGUUGCUGUCGGUUUUAGCCAGGUGUAAAGCUAAAGCCAAGUUCAAGUCACACACACUAACUCAUCUCACUCAGAUCACACACAGUCACACUCCAGCUUUCAAAAAUUUAGACAUUAAUUGACAGUUGAAAUUAAAAUUGAAAAUGUAUCCAACAAAAGUUGGCCUUAAAUUUACAAAAUAAAUAUUUAAAGACACUUCCUUGACGUUCUACGGCGAAUGGCAAUUACUUAAGCAAACAUUGUUUUAACAUUUCCCGUAAAUAAUCUGAUGCCUUUCCACAAAUGAGGCGCUAAAUUCGGCUAAUUUGUGAAGCUAAGCAACCGCGCGACAUGCAAACAGCAUUUAAAACUUGUCUUGUAUGCCAUUAAAAAGAAGAAGAAGAAGAAGAAGAAGAAGAAGAAGAAGUAGUAGUAUGAAAGCAGAAUGAAAUAAAUAAACCUAGUUCUCCAAAUACCCGGGGUAGAAACUUUUCUGAUAGCCUUUCAACAUGGCGGGGCAUGGCAGCUAUGGCGACGUCUGUUCGUGUUGCACCCGCGGGUGCUGCUUAACCCGGCCAACUUUAUGGCACCCACCGAAAAGUCAGCAGACGUACAAAAAGUUGCGACCAUGCCCCCGUAUCUGGCUCGCAACGACGACGACGACAACUGUCUUUUAUGUUGCCUAAAAACUUGUAAAAUAGUUGCGCCACGCCCCGUUUGCCGCAUAAUUUUGAGCAAAUGUAAAUAUUUUGUGCAAAUAAAUAGAAGCAAGUUUUAUGUACGUGCUGCAAGCUGCAUGUAGCACGAAAA